AAAAAAAAAUUCUUAAAAAAUGAAUCAAGAAAAAACUAAUUAAAUAGUAAAAAUUAAAAAUUAAUUAUGAAAUAUUAUAUUUUAAUAAAAAUUGAAAAUACAUUAAUUAUAUGUUGAUUUCUAUUGAACCGGGUUUUGAAAUUGAACUGGAUCACCGGUUUUACCGGUUUUUAGCCGGUUUCACCGGUUUUUCUCAAAUCCGGGUUUUAAACCGAACUGGACUCGGUUUUUUUAAUGAGUCACGGUCGGACCGGUUCAAUCGGCCGGUCUGAUCCGAUUUUCAAAACCUUGAAUAAUAUCAUACGUGAUAUUAGCUAAAUGAUACAGAGAAACAUAUAUUUAAUUUUUAUAUAUUUUUAUAUUAUAGUUAUAAUUUUUCAGUUUUUAUAUUUUUUCCACAUUCAAGAAACCUACAUAAUUGUCGCAUUACACGCAGUGCUCGGCAAAAAUCAUCUUACGUCAUUCACACGGAUACAAAGCUACAUAUUUGGUUUUUACAGUCGUGAUUGAAUUUGUUAUGUUGCUGCGAAGAAGAAAAAAAAAUCCUACAUAAUUGACUACUUAAUGUCCAUUCAAAAUGAUAUACAGUAUAAAACAAUACAUGACAUGUUAAAUAAAUUGAUUAUAAUGUUAGAUUAUCAUUUAGUUACAUUUAUAUAAUUUUAAUUUAAUUUUAUAAUUAUAAUUAUAAGAAAAUUAAAUAAAUAUAUCACUAUAUAUUAUUUAUAAAAAUAUUACAAAUCAGUACAAUACAUAUUAAUCUUACAAUGACUAUUUUUUAAAAUUAAAAUUAUAAUAUUUGUUAAAUUAUGAUUACACAUUGUAAUACGGAUUAGCACAUAAUUUUAAUUUUAUGAUAAAUAUAUUUAAACAAUUUUAUAAUAAAUUACUUUUCACGAGUAUCUCAAAAUAAAUGUAUCUAAUAAAUUUUUUAAAGUAAAUUACAUACACAAAUUUAAACAUAAUUAUGCACAAAACUUAAUAAUAUGUACAGCAUGUAUAAAAUUAUAAUUUUUAUUAAAUAAAAUUUUAUAAGUAAAUAUAAUAAGUCUGUGCAUAGAAAUGAGGGUUAGAAUCUAGUUUUAUUAUAUAGUAGAUGAAUGUUCGGUUUCGUAUCAAAGAGCAAAGCUCAAUAAACUCUACAGGUUUAUCAAUUUAUAUUUAUAUAUAUGCAAACAUAAUAAAAGCACACAUACUACUACAUGGCUCAUAUCACAUAUACAGAGAACUUGAGCUCGAUGAUAACCAGAUAAACAUGAAUAUAUGUGUCGGUAUGGAACACAUUAUAAUAUAUUGGAUUGAUCUCCAUAUAGUUUUCAUUAAAAAUAUAACAAUAUCUAUAAUAAUAAUUUGAGGUUUUCUAUCACCUCAGCCCUCCACGUCCUUCUUUUUGAUGUGGGCAUUUGUCGCCACGUGUCGGCUCUUAACUGGUUACGUCUUUUUUUUCUUUCCCAUUUCUCUUUUGGACUCUGGCGUUUUCUCUUUUGGGCUCUGGUGUUUUCUUAUUUGUUCAAUGAUCGCAGUCCAUCUGAACGCCUAGGGUUUCGACGUCUCAUCUUUGUCUUCGUCUUCUACCUUUUCACAUCGGCCGCGAGACCACGCAGCGAUUCGAGGCUGUUCAGUAUGCCUAACGCCUCCGAUUUCAAUAACUUUGCAGCUCGCCUCCAACCUAUGCUGCUGUUUCAGAGCAUUCAUAUAUUUAAAAUCAAACUACUGCUGAGCUCUUUAUUGGUCAUUUGGACAAUUCUGAGGCUGAGGACAGUUGCAAGGCAAUUUUUGCUUACCUAUCAUCUUGGUAAGAGACCGAUAUCAAGAUCUUAUAAAUGUAAAGUACAGAACUUUCUCAGCUGUUGUGGGACCCUUAGUCAUCGUUGAAAGAGCGAAGGUAUACACAUUGAUACGAGAAGAUUUGCCAUUGAUAUAUUGAAUUAAAGCUUUGCUAUAUAGAUUCAAUGUCCUCAAUAACUUAUUUUCUUUUUGUUUCAGGUUUUUGAAAAAAUUGGCACCGUUCAAUCCACUGGAGAGGUAUUUACUAUGAAAGUCUCUUCUUUUAAACACUUAUAAUGUUUUGUUUAACCUUCGAUAUUUCUGGUGAGUGUUGAUUGUGUUCAUUGUCUGAUCUCUAAAACAAAACAAAAAAGUUGUUGUUGUUUUGAGUUGUGUCGGUAAUACUUAUAGGAAGCUGAAUCAACCCCAGUGAAAGAACUUACCCUGAAGAAAUGAUUUGUCGCUUUGUUGUUACUUUUUAUAUUUUAUAAAACACAAAACAAAAAAGUUGUUGUUGUUUUGAGUUGUGUUGGUAAUACUUAUAGGAAGCUGAAUCAACCCCAGUCAAAGAACUUACCCGGAAGAAAUGAUUUGUCGCUUUGUUGUUACUUUUUAUAUUUUAUAAAACAUGUCCACCCAUCAGUGUCGCUUUGUUGACACCGCAGGCAUAGUGCCAAGAUCAGUGUAUAUAUCUAGGAAGUCUUCUUCUGCAGCUGCGUUGACUGCAACUGUGGCUAAAGAACCUGAAACUGGUGAGUUUUGCAUUGUAAUUUCUGAAUUGAUGAAUUGUUCCUCACAAUGAAGUUUACAAGUAACCUAGACUUUGUAGUUUCAAUAAACAGAGAUGGCCUCUGUUGAUGAUGUUAUUUCUAUGUUUUGACUAUGACUAAAUGCCAUCUUACUCUUUAACAGGCUGGUGCUUUGAUGGUUGAUAAUAGAUUAGGUUGCGUUCACGAGUUUGACAACCUGAAUAUCAAAAACCAGGCUGCUAUUCGAGAAGCCAUGGAGCAGCCACAAUAACCACCUUUCUGUGCGUAGAUCCGUCUACUCUCCAUGCUCGAGGAAUAUAACUUAUCAGGCAGUCAAGAGAGGAAGAACACCGAGACCUAUGGGUGUGUACUUAUCUUCAUUCCAUCAGAAAGUUUUGGCCAAUAUAAUAUUUUCAAGCUAUAGGUUUCUGCAUGUUAAAAGAUCUGAUGAAGCUCCAGGAAACAGCUCAUAGCAGAAUGCACCAACCAAAGACUUUCCUGGAAUGUCAACUGGUGCAGGUGGUGCUGCAACCAACGAAGACUUUCCUUGAGAGCCAGAAUACACCAGAUUCUUAAACCUAACAAGAAAGCCAAUCAGCGCUAGAUAGUGGACCUAUACCCACCGGUAAUUUAGUCUUAUAAUAAACAUUAACUAAUAUAUCAUCAUAGUGAGUAUACAUCAUCAUCUUGGAUUGUUACUUUAUUUUGGAGUUAAUCUCUUGUGGAUUUAUUCUAAUUCCUUUAAUCACAAAUAUUCAUGUAGCAUCUCAAAGGAUCCUUCAGCAGAGGACUUGAAAUUGUUGGCGUACAAGUUUAAGAGCAAUCUGUUAAUGAAGCAGUAUAAUUUCAGAUUACUUGGCAUCCAAGUUAAGAAGUUUUGUACUAUAUUUAGCGAACUUACCUUAUGAAUUUUUUUUUCAAUCUGCUUCUGGAGAUUUCUAACUCCUGCUUCUCUGCAGUAGUUUUCUAUCAAGAAAAGAAGAGCUGCGUCGCUCACAUCAACCUGUUCAGGCUUAAUGCCACAUUUUCUAUGUGCAGUUUUCACCAAAUUGUCUCUAGAAAUAUAUUUUAUUUGACCACAGUCCGCUGCAAGAAAAUAAGUUGAACAUCCACACAUAGCUUGACAAACAAGCACCCAACAAGGGAAAAAAUUUAACAACAUAAUUUACAACUACAACAAAGGAUCACGAUGGACAGUCCAAAAUAUUAACACCUAAACAAAACUUAGUAAGCCAAUGCUGCAUACGACGGCCUAGGUGAUACAACCAAUUAAACAUUAUGAAAAUAUAAUUACAGUUUAUCUAUUUAAAAUAUUACAUAUAAAUUAAACUCAAAAGAAUCAAACUACCGAAUACUUUUUUUAUCCGAAGUAAUUAAAAGUAUACCAAGAACAUUUUAAUCUAAAAUAUCUAAAAUUUAUCCAAAUGAUCUGAUAUUUUAAUUGAAAAAUACAAAAAACUAUGAUUUACCGAAUUAUCCAAAAUUGCACAAAAAAAACAAACCAAAACAGAACUGAAGUAGACCCAAAAUGUAUUGGAUAUUAGUCAGUUUCUACCAUUUUUAAAUAAAUAGGAACAAAACCAAAAUAGUAAAACUAAAAUUUAUAAAUAACCAAACAGUUCCUCUUUAGAACCGAAAAACCAUAAAUCAAAAUACCAAAAACCGAAAAAAUAAAUCGAAAUCGAGCUAAAACCUGAAUACCAUAGAGGCAACCAAAAUGUUUCAGGUGGCAUUUAGACAAACUGAAAUACUUGAAAAUAUAGUUGGCCGAACCAUACCUGAACCAAUCAGGUUGUAGUUUUAGUGUAAACUCACCCGCCCGUAGGGCGGGCCAACCACUAGUUAUUAUUAUAUUAUGCGGAUAUUUUAUAUAGUUGAGAAAUCCAUGAGAAACUAUUGGAUCAAUUUUAACAGAUUUAGGGGUUGUAGUAGGAGCUAAAUUAAUAAUGAUUGUUAGUAUUUUAAAAUUAUAUAGUUAUUGUUUAAUAAAUUCUAACAUUCUUAAUUAAAUCAAGUACUAUUGGUUUGUAGAUUUUUAAAUGACAUAUAAAAAUCAUUGUCACUCAAAAAGUUUAAGUUCUGUAAUUCUAUCAAAAUUUAGUGUUAUUGAAACUUCAAUUCUUACCAUUUUAACUCAUAAAGCAAAAUUUUCAAAAUAUUACAUAUAUCUUUAAGAUUCUUAAAAUUACUGUAGUAGAAUAAUUAUAUCUGCUUUUUAAAUAUGAAUAACUCUUUGAUACUCUUUAUAAAUUUAACAAAUCUUUUGAUUCUUAAAAUAGAUCACCUCUACCUAAAUUCAUCUCCAACUAAACCCUCUCCCCACCCCCUCUCUUAACUACUUGUGAUACCUAUAUAAUACAAUAAUAUAUAUUUUCUUUGUUUCUAAGAGAUAAAUAUUUUUCUAUUUUACAUAUAUUAAGAAAACACAUGAAGUUUGAUGAUAAAUAUAUUAUUUUCUGGGAUUAAAUAUUUUUGAUUUAAAAGAAAUAUCAAAAAUAUUUUGUUGUAAAAAAAUUAUCUUAUAAUUUUAUAGAUUGCAAGAAAUUCAUGUGUAUACAUAUCAUUUAGUGAAGCUGCGCUAACUUGUUAAACUUAUUAAAUUUUCCAUUACUAUUAUUAUAAGACUUUCCAAAAACUAAUCAGUUAUACAUAAUUCUAUCAUUAUAUCAUGACCACUGAAGAAUACAGUAAAAAGUAUGGGUACGAAUAGUGACAAGGGAACGGUGAGGAAAAAUACAUUAUCUAACGUUCCUAAAACAAAUCACCAUUCACAAGGAAUAAUAAUUCCUCUCAUUCCUUUUCAUUCCUUUUUUUGUAGAGAAUUAAAGAACAAAAUUAUUCUUUGUUAAAUUUGAUAAGGAAAAACAAUUUCUUUUCAUUCCUGCUAUUUUAUUCCCGUACAUUUCUUUUUUAUUUGUUCAUCUUGUUUCUUGAAUUGUCACCUAUAUUUGUUUAUACUGAUAGAAAGAUGAAAGCCACAUUUAUCCUGAUCUUCUUUGGAAUGGCCCAGAUCAUGAGAACAAAAACCAAAAAAAAUGGAGAGAGAUUUCUAGUCAUGGAAAGAACACUACUCAAAACAAAAUAAUCGUUUUACACUUUUAAAUGGCAAACUAGAGUUUGAUCCGUUCAUCCGCAAAAGUAUUUGUUUAAUAGAAUAAACAUAUGAAAUUAAUGUAAUUGUUUCACAAAAAUAUGUACGUAUAGAUGUUUGUUCGAUUAUAACAUAUAAAAAUUUUGACAGAUCGAUAGUUUUUAAUUGUCUAUAAUAUUUUGAUUACUCAUAUUUGAGUUAGAUAUAAAACUAAUCAAAAUGAUAUGUUAUCUAGCAUAUUCGUCAAUUAAUAUUUUUUAACUAUAGUAACCAUUUUGAUGUAUUUAGUUAUAAAUUAAAAUACCAAUUAUUAUAUUUAUAAUAUUAAUAAAUACAUUUCCAAAACAAAAUGUAUUUACGUUUUAAUAAGGCAUAUAGAUAGACCAAAUAAAGUUUAUAUAUAUGUUGUAAGUAAAUUU